rnacentral:rRNA from 1 species
AACGCUGGCGGCGUGCUUAACACAUGCAAGCNAAGGAGAAAGGAAAUCUUCGGAAUUCCGAGUAAACUGGCGGACGGGUGAGUAACACGUAGGUAACCUGCCCAUAAGACUGGGAUAACCUUGCUAACGCGGGGCUAAUACCGGAUAAUAUUUUUUUAACACAUGUUAAAGAAAUCAAAGCUGCCUUCGGGUAGUACUUGUGGAUGGACCUGCGCCCCAUUAGCUAGUUGGUGAGGUAACGGCUCACCAAGGCGACGAUGGGUAGCCGGCCUGAGAGGGUGACCGGCCACACUGGGACUGAGGUACGGCCCAGACUCCUACGGGAGGCAGCAGUGAGGAAUAUUGCGCAAUGGGCGAAAGCCUGACGCAGCAACGCCGCGUGGAUGAUGAAGCUCUAAGGAGUGUAAAGAUCUGUCGUGAGGGAAGAAAAGUUUGGAUGUGAAUAAUGUUCAUUCUAGACGGUACCUCACAAGAAAGCACCGGCUAACUUCGUGCCAGCAGCCGCGGUAAUAC